GACGAAGGAUGCAAGCGUUAUCCGGAUUCAUUGGGUUUAAAGGGUGCGUAGGCGGCCAGAUAAGUCAGUGGUGAAAUCCUGUUGCUUAACAACAGAACUGCCAUUGAUACUGUUUGGCUUGAGUAUAGUUGCUGUGGGCGGAAUAUGACAUGUAGUGGUGAAAUACAUAGAGAUGUCAUAGAACACCGAUUGCGAAGGCAGCUCACAAAACUAUAAACUGACGCUGAGGCACGAAAGUGCGGGGAUCAAACAGG
rnacentral:rRNA from 1 species